GAAAAAUACUGCAGUGAGCAAAAUAGAGAGCCAGGAGAUGCCGAUGGUGACAAUUUUUUUUAUUUUUGAAGAGCAACAAAUUAUGUCUUCUCUUAUUGUCUUAUUAAAAGAUCAAAACAUCAGGAUUCCUUUCUUUGGCCUUCCAAUUUGUGAUUUUAACAGUACAAUAUUUAAGUCUUGAUUUUCAGUUACCUGGGUGGUAACAAUUGCAACAAAUUAAUACAACAAAAGAAUUUGAUUUAUUCCAGCUUUCCAUAGCAACACCAGCAGGAUGACUGAUAUAUCAUUCCAAAUUUCCAGUCAGUAUCAUCGCACUGGGGACUUUGAAUAAUUUUAUUUAAUUUUUAUUUUUACAACUCACACUUAUGGCACAGAGUUGGGCAGUGGGAACUGAAACAAUGUCAUUCUUAGUCUCCUGGGUGGUAACAAAAAGCCAACAGCAGAUCUCUCCUUUCUAUAAGGUCAACGUCUGUUUUACAAGUUCAUCAUUGGAGGGGACACAAUUGCAAGGCGGCCGCCGACGCUGAGCAACCCAGGACGUCUGGCAUUAGAGACUUCUAAUGACUAAAAAUGACUAUUUUUUAAUUUUUUCAUAAUAUGUAAAUAAAUUAAUAUCAAAUUAUA